ensembl:lncRNA
UUUUUUUUUCCAACUUGCACAUUUUCACAGACUCUCUCUCUUAUACUUAAACUUUUAUUUUUUAUUUUUUUUAGUAUAAAAGAAUUAACCAACACUUAAAGUUUUGGACAACUAUUGAUUGAUUGAUCGACUGAUUGAUUGAUUGAUUGAUUGAUUGAUUGAUUGAUUGAUUGUCUUGUAAUGGUGGAGCUUGCUGGAACCAUCCUGUUUGUUUCAUUCAUUUUUUGUUGUGUUCACUUGCAUUUACAUCUCUUUAUUAAUUUAGCAUUUUCUUACUCAACCGAUUACUAAAAAGUGUCAAUUUAGAUUUUUGCAAUUCACAUAUAUUAUUCUAAUUUAAGACUCAACAUUACAGUAAACAUUUAAACCAACAUUCAAAAUGUCUCCUAAAAAAAAUUACCAAUUUUGACUCAAAACCUUGUAGAUUCUGUCAUAUUAGCCAUAUUCUGUAACACAUCUACCCACACCAACUACAUACAGUAAUUCUAGGAAAACACAAUUCUAAUAAAAAAUGGGAGGAGUCAAAAAUUUAAAACAUUUGGUAAACAUUUGCUAUUUUGUAAUAAAAUCUCUCUUUCUGUCUCUGUCUUUCUCUCCCUCCAUCUGGUUUGCUUAACACUCUGUGUGAUUUUGGCCCUCAUCCUUUAUUUUUUCUCUGUUCUCUCUACACACUGAUGCUUGUCUAUUGUCAUUACAGGACGUUUGAGUGGGGCUGAUAUGUCCAGCACUCCAGCUUUACGGACCUCUAAGGAAUCUCUCACAACAUUGAUUGAUUGAUUGAUUGAUUGAUUGUCAUUUUGUUCAAUACUAUUUGGUUUGUUUUCUGUGAGAUCAAAAUUGUGUUUGCCAAACAAAACUUUCAUCUUUCCCUCUUUCAUACAGAUCCCUCUCCACCCUUAAACUAUGUAUCUCUCUCUUUAAGCUGGUGGUUGAGCUGUCGACAGGUUCUGGCUGGUGUUUACCCGAGGAAGUGUCAAGUUCUUCAUUGGUGGGGCAGAAGGAGAGACCAGCCUUUGGAAGUCUAUCUUCUGCACAAAGACGAUAAGUUCCCCUUUAACCUCCUUUUCUCCAUUCUGAAGUGCUUGACUCUGUCUCACUCUCACACACUCACACCAUCCGGAUAAUCCAGCAGAUAGGGUUAACAUAACGUGCUCAUCCUAUGUGCAUAUAGUGAGAAGAGCCCAACACACACACAUGCACACAAAUUCAGUAAUCCAGGAGAAUGGGUUUACACAUUCCACACACCCCAUGUCCAUCUCCAGGACACACACACACUCACACACACACAAAUUUACAUACAGUAGAUAGCGCUUAAUUCGGCGCGGGCUGCAUCGAAGCAGCCAGGCUGUGGAGAAUGGCCCUGACUAAGCUGAGAAUUUACAUGGCUAAGCAAAGUGGUUAACCCCUGGAAGCAGGUCCAGAGAAAAAGU